rnacentral:rRNA from 1 species
GACGAACGCUGGCGGCGUGCCUAAUACAUGCAAGUCGAACGCAUUUUCUUUCACCGGAGCUUGCUACACCGAAAGAAAAUGAGUGGCGGACUGUUGAUUAACACGUGAGUAACCUGCCCAUCAGCGGGUAAUAACACUUGGAAACAGGUGCUAAUACCGCAUAAUUCCAUUUACCGCAUGUUAACUGGAUGAAAGGCGCUUUUGCUUCACUGGUGGAUGGACCCGCGGUGCAUUAGCUAGUUGGUGGGGUAACGGCCUACCAAGGCUGCGAUGCAUAGCCGACCUGCGAGGGUGAUAGGCCACACUGGGCCUGAGACACGGCCCAGAAUACUACGGGAGGCAGACGUAGGGAAUCUUCGGCAAUGGACGCAAGUCUGAACGAGCAACGCCGCGUGAGUGAAGAAGGUUUUCGGAUCGUAAACCUCUGUUGUUAGAGAAGAACAAGGAUGAGAGUGGAAAGUUAAUACACUGACGGUAUCUAACGAGAAAGCCACGGCUAACUACGUG